UGGGGGAUAGUUCAGUUGGUGGAACGUCCGGCUGUUAACCGGAAAGUCGUAGGUUCGAGCCCUACUCCCCCAG
rnacentral:tRNA from 1 species